GACAGAGGCCCCGAGCGUUAAUCGGAAUUACUGGGCUUAAAGGGUGCGUAGGCUGAUCCGAAAGUGCUCCGUGAAAUCCCCCGGCUCAACCGGGGGAACAGCGAGGCAUACUGCGGAUCUUGAGGCAGGUAGGCGCCGAGGGAACAGUAGGUGGAGCGGUGAAAUGCGUAGAUAUCUACUGGAACGCCGAUGGUGAAGACGCUCGGCUGGGCCUGUCCUGACGCUGAGGCACGAAAGCGUGGGGAGCAAACAGG
rnacentral:rRNA from 1 species